GUCGAGAAUCUUUCACAAUGGGGGCAACCCUGAUGGAGCGACGCCGCGUGGAGGAUAAGGUCUUCGGAUUGUAAACUCCUGUCAUGCGUGAACAAGGUUGCUUGGUUAAUACCUGGGCAAAUUGAUGGUAACGCAAGAGGAAGAGACGGCUAACUCUGUGCCAGCAGCCGCGGUAAUACAGAGGUCUCAAGCGUUGUUCGGAAUCACUGGGCGUAAAGGGUGCGUAGGUGGCGUGGUAAGUCAGAUGUGAAAGCCCGGGGCUCAACCUCGGAACUGCAUCCGAGACUGCCAUGCUAGAGUACUGGAGAGGUGACUAGAAUUCUCGGUGUAGCAGUGAAAUGCGUAGAUAUCGAGAGGAAUACCAAAGGCGUAGGCAGGUCACUGGACAGUUACUGACACUGAGGCACGAAGGCCAGGGGAGCGAACGGGAUUAGAAACCCGUGUAGUCC
rnacentral:rRNA from 1 species